rnacentral:misc_RNA from 1 species
GAUGAAGAACGUAGCGAAAUGCGAUAAGUAAUGUGAAUUGCAGAAUUCAGUGAAUCAUCGAAUCUUUGAACGCACCUUGCACCCUUUGGUAUUCCGAAGGGUAUGCUCGUUUGAGUGUCAUUGUACUCUCACACUUCUAAUUCCUUUCGGGAUUGGGAGCGGUGGACUUGGGUGUUGCUGCUUUAGUUGUGGCUCACCUCAAAUAAGUUAGUGCAACUCUUGGUUGGACAUAGUACGGCGUGAUAAGUGUCUUCGCCGGCACCUCAUAAGAGGGUGGCCGAUCAGGAGCUCUGUGCUUUCAAACUGUCUUCGGACAAUCUCUGACAACUUGACCUCAAAUCGAGUAGGACUACCCGCUGAACUUAAGCAUAUCAAUAAGCGGAGGA